rnacentral:misc_RNA from 1 species
UCUGGAGCCAAGAGGAUGACG